rnacentral:rRNA from 1 species
AGCUCCAAUAGCGUAUAUUAAAGUUGUUGCAGUUAAAAAGCUCGUAGUUGUAUCUCUGGCUAGAGUGAUUGGUCUUUCACAUGGUGUUAGAACCUAAAUCUUUAUCUAGUCAUCCUUGAGGAGAGCCCACAUGGCAUUAAGUUGUUGUGUGGGGGAUCCUCAUCAUUUACUGUGAAGAAAUUAGAGUGUUCAAAGCAGGCUUAGGCCGUUGUAUACAUUAGCAUGGAAUAAUAAGAUAGGAUCUCAGUACUAUUUUGUUGGUUUGCGCAUUGAGAUAAUGAUUAAUAGGGACUGUUGGGGGUAUUUGUAUUCCAUUGUCAGAGGUGAAAUUCUUGGAUUUCUGGAAGACAAACUACUGCGAAAGCAUUUACCAAGGAUGUUUUCU